CUCAAAUUUGAAAGCUGGCUCCUUCGGGGCCCGCGUUGUAAUUUGUAGAGGAUGCUUCGGGUGCGGCUCCGGUCUAAGUUCUCUGGAACGAGACGUCAUAGAGGGUGAGAAUCCCGUAUGUGACCGGCUGCUUGCGCCCAUGUGAAGCUCCUUCGACGAGUCGAGUUGUUUGGGAAUGCAGCUCAAAAUGGGAGGUGUACUCCUUCUAAAGCUAAAUAUUGGCCAGAGACCGAUAGCGCACAAGUAGAGUGAUCGAAAGAUGAAAAGCACUUUGGAAAGAGAGUUAAACAGUACGUGAAAUUGUUGAAAGGGAAGCGCUUGCAAUCAGACUUGCGCGGCGCCGAUCAGCCUGGGUUCUCCCUGGUGCACUCGGCGCCGCUCAGGCCAGCAUCAGUUUCGGCGGUGGGAUAAAGGCUUAGGGAACGUGGGUCGCCUCGGCGACCGUUAUAGCCCUAGGUGCAAUGCCGCCUGCCG
rnacentral:rRNA from 2 species